GGGCCCGUAGCCUAGUCUGGAUAUACGUGCUUAGAUGCUAUCUAAGCUGUAGAUCGUGAGUUCGAAUCUCACCGGGCUCA
rnacentral:tRNA from 1 species